rnacentral:rRNA from 1 species
CAAACUCGGUCAUUUAGAGGAAGUAAAAGUCGUAACAAGGUCUCCGUUGGUGAACCAGCGGAGGGAUCAUUACCGAGUUUACAACUCCCAAACCCAAUGUGAACCAUACCAAACUGUUGCCUCGGCGGGGUCACGCCCCGGGUGCGUCGCAGCCCCGGAACCAGGCGCCCGCCGGAGGGACCAACCAAACUCUUUUCUGUAGUCCCCUCGCGGACGUUAUUUCUUACAGCUCUGAGCAAAAAUUCAAAAUGAAUCAAAACUUUCAACAACGGAUCUCUUGGUUCUGGCAUCGAUGAAGAACGCAGCGAAAUGCGAUAAGUAAUGUGAAUUGCAGAAUUCAGUGAAUCAUCGAAUCUUUGAACGCACAUUGCGCCCGCCAGUAUUCUGGCGGGCAUGCCUGUCCGAGCGUCAUUUCAACCCUCGAACCCCUCCGGGGGGUCGGCGUUGGGGAUCGGGAACCCCUAAGACGGGAUCCCGGCCCCGAAAUACAGUGGCGGUCUCGCCGCAGCCUCUCCUGCGCAGUAGUUUGCACAACUCGCACCGGGAGCGCGGCGCGUCCACGUCCGUAAAACACCCAACUUCUGAAAUGUUGACCUCGGAUCAGGUAGGAAUACCCGCUGAACUUAAGCAUAUCAAUAAGCGGAGGAAAAGAAACCAACAGGGAUUGCCCCAGUAACGGCGAGUGAAGCGGCAACAGCUCAAAUUUGAAAUCUGGCCCCUAGGGUCCGAGUUGUAAUUUGUAGAGGAUGCUUUUGGUGAGGUGCCGCCGGAGUUCCAUGG